rnacentral:rRNA from 1 species
CCAGUGAGUGGCGGACGGGUGAGUAACACGUAGGUAACCUGCCCCGGAGCGGGGGAUAACAUUUGGAAACAGAUGCUAAUACCGCAUAACAACAAAAGCCACAUGGCUUUUGUUUGCAAGAUGGCUUUGGCUAUCACUCUGGGAUGGACCUGCGGUGCAUUAGCUAGUUGGUAAGGUAACGGCUUACCAAGGCGAUGAUGCAUAGCCGAGUUGAGAGACUGAUCGGCCACAAUGGAACUGAGACACGGUCCAUACUCCUACGGGAGGCAGCAGUAGGGAAUCUUCCACAAUGGGCGCAAGCCUGAUGGAGCAACACCGCGUGAGUGAAGAAGGGUUUCGGCUCGUAAAACUCUGUUGUUGUAGAAGGAC